GCUCAGAUUGAACGCUGGCGGCAUGCCUUACACAUGCAAGUCGAACGGCAGCACGGAGCUUGCUCUGGUGGCGAGUGGCGAACGGGUGAGUAAUAUAUCGGAACGUACCCUAGAGUGGGGGAUAACGUAGCGAAAGUUACGCUAAUACCGCAUACGAUCUAAGGAUGAAAGUGGGGGAUCGCAAGACCUCAUGCUCGUGGAGCGGCCGAUAUCUGAUUAGCUAGUUGGUAGGGUAAAAGCCUAUCAAGGCAUCGAUCAGUAGCUGGUCUGAGAGGACGACCAGCCACACUGGAACUGAGACACGGUCCAGACUCCUACGGGAGGCAGCAGUGGGGAAUUUUGGACAAUGGGCGAAAGCCUGAUCCAGCAAUGCCGCGUGAGUGAAGAAGGCCUUCGGGUUGUAAAGCUCUUUUGUCAGGGAAGAAACGGUGAGAGCUAAUAUCUUUUGCUAAUGACGGUACCUGAAGAAUAAGCACCGGCUAACUACGUGCCAGCAGCCGCGGUAAUACGUAGGGUGCAAGCGUUAAUCGGAAUUACUGGGCGUAAAGCGUGCGCAGGCGGUUUUGUAAGUCUGAUGUGAAAUCCCCGGGCUCAACCUGAGAAUUGCAUUGGAGACUGCAAGGCUAGAAUCUGGCAGAGGGGGGUAGAAUUCCACGUGUAGCAGUGAAAUGCGUAG
rnacentral:rRNA from 1 species